UACGCCCUGUUUAUCAGGUAUGGAGUUGAGUUUGCUAUUGACAAUGGACAUGACAAUGCUACGUUUGUUGUGAACAACGAAAUUACGUAACUCACCAUAAAAGAUGCAGCCACACUCGCUCUAGAGAAGAUAAUGACGAUGAAGGAUACACAUAUCUAAAUUGUCUUGGGGAUCUUGCUGGCAAGCAGUAUCUUUUCCAGAUUUGGGUCAUCACUUUCAGGAUGGAUUUGGAGUCUCGAGACAAUAGGAGUCCUUGAUGCUCAAAGGGAUUCUAUGGACAUAAAUGUACUCUUUCUAUGGGAUUUCACUUUCUGAGUUUCAUAUGU